AAGGGAGGGGAGUUUCUCGGAGCUGCUUCCGCCUCCAGCGGAGGCGUGACCCGGGAGUGGAUCGCAGCGGCUCUGAGCGGCGGGGCCAGCAUGAGCUGCCCCCGGGAGCUAGCGGGGGAGCUGGCCCGGUUCUACACGGUCACCGAGCCCCAGCGCCACCCCCGGGGAUACACCGUCUAUAAGGUCACCGCUCGGAUUGUUUCAAGAAGAAAUCCAGAGGAAGUCCAGGAGAUUGUCGUUUGGAAGAGAUACAGUGACUUUAAGAAACUGCACAAAGAUCUCUGGCAAAUUCAUAAAAACGUAUACAGGCAUACAGAAUUGUUUCCGCCUUUUGCCAAAGCAAUAGUAUUUGGGCGGUUUGAUGAAUCUGUGAUUAAAGAAAGAAGGCAAUGUGCUGAAGAUCUGCUGCAGUUUUCUGCCAACAUCCCUGCUCUAUAUAAGAGCAAACAGUUUGAAGACUUUUUUAAGGGUGGUGAGGUGCAUGAUGGAUCUGAAUUGAUUGGUCCUGUUGAGCCUUUAUCUGAUUCCCUGAUUGACAGCUUAUCUGACUGCAGUUCUGAAGUUCAAAAGGAUUUAAGUGGACUCGAUGAUGUGACGUUUACCAGCCAAUCAGAAUGUGGAGGUUUCUCCAGUGAUAGUGACCUCAUCUCUUUGACAGUCGAUGUAGACUCUCUUGCUGAAUUAGAUGAUGGAAUGGCAUCCAACCAAAAUUCUCCCAGUAGAGCUUUUGGUCUCAGCCUUGCUUCAGAAUCCUUAGGACAAGGUGCUGUUGCUUAUGAUUGUGAGUGGAGCAAACCUGAAGGCGAGAGGGAGAGCGAGAGCCGUAGUCUGUUUACUGGGAGCUUAAGACACAAGCUUGGCAAACAUGAUUACUUGGAGAAAGCAGGGGAGCUGAUGAAGCUGGCCCUGAAGAAGGAGGAAGAAGAAGAUUAUGAAGCUGCCUUUAGCUUUUAUCGGAGAGGGGUUGAUCUGCUCCUGGAAGGUGUUCAAGGUGAGUCAAGUCCAACUCGUCGAGAAGCAGUGAAGAAGAAGACCGCAGAAUAUCUAAUGCGUGCUGAAAAAAUUUCCAGUCUAUACCAGAAAUCCUUCUCUGAAGAUGGAUCAGUUUCUGGGCCUCCAGGAUCACUAAGUUCAAGGCCCUCUUGGAACCUAAGGAGCCCUGCCGAGGAACUAAAGGCCUUCAGAGUCCUUGGGGUGAUUGACAAGGUUUUACUUGUAAUGGAUACUAGAACACAGCAGACGUUUAUACUGAAAGGUCUAAGGAAAAGUAGUGAGUACAGCAGGAACAGAAAGACCAUCAUUCCCCGCUGUGUGCCCAACAUGGUGUGUCUGCACAAGUACAUCAUCUCUGAGGAGUCUGUAUUUCUUGUGCUGCAGCAUGCAGAAGGAGGUAGACUGUGGUCUUACAUCAGUAAAUUCUUAAACAGAAGCCCUGAAGAAAGCUUUGAAAUCCAUGAACUCAAAAGUUCUACUAAAAUUCACCUGCAGCUGCCAACCCCUAGCCCUACAGAAAUCAGCAGUAGUGUUGACUCCAGAGGAAGCAAUGGGGGGAAUAUGCUGAAAGUUAUACCUCUGAAGAGCAGUCUUACACCAAGUUCUCAAGAUGAGAGUAGUAACCAGGAAGAUGGCCAAGAAGGUUCUCCCAAAUGGACAGAUUCUGGGUCAAGUUCAGAAGAAGAAUGCACUACUAGUUAUUUAACAUUAUGCAAUGAAUAUGGGCAAGAAAAAAUUGAUCCUGGCUCUUUAAAUGAAGAACCUGUGCCAAAACCAGAGGGAGAAGAUCUUAAAACCAAAGAGUUAGGAUGCUUACAGGCUCAUACUUUAGUUGGCAAUGAUAGCCUCAGUUCUCAGAUCACCUCUCGGGAGCUAAAGUUUUUCACUGACGAUGCUGACCCAGAAGUACUUAGUCCUACUACGAUAUCAGACUUAAGUAAAUCCAAGCACAGCUCUAUGGAAUUCUUCAGAAUAGACAGUAAAGACAGCACCAGUGAACUUCUGGGGCUUGAUUUUGGAGAUAAAUUGUAUAGCUUAAAAUCAGAAUCUUUAAAGCCAUUUUUUUCUACACCCAAUCAUGACAGGAGCCUUGAAACAAUGGAAAGAAAGGUGGGCUUUAGAGCCCAGGACACAAUAAGCCGGGGUUCCAAUGACUCUGUGCCGGUAAUUUCUUUUAAGGAUGCUGCUUUUGAUGAUGUAAGUAGUGCUGAUGAAGGAAGGCCCGAUCUUCUGAUAAAUUUACCUGGUGUAUCUGAGAAACUGGAAGAAGCGCCGGUGGUUAGGCCAAAAAAGUUUACAAAGACUGAUGUAAACAUCUUGGAAAGCAAACUGUUAGAAACCCCUGAUGUCUUACAAUUAAAUAAUAGUACAGAGCAAUGCAAAGCACUUGAUCAAAAGUUAAAUCAUGUGGUGCCAGAAUUGGGCCAUCCUUCUAACAAGGAAUCAGAAGGACAAUAUGAUGUCACUCAGGAAAUUGUCAGGACGCUAUUUACAUCUGACAUUGACCUGGCUAGUUCAGAAGAUGUGGCUCAUUUUCAAGGACUCGGAGCAAUUUCUUCCUCAUCAUUAAAUGCAACAAGCACAGAAGAAAAUUUCUUAUUUAUUUCUAACCCAUUUUCAGGUGCUAAAGACUAUAGUUUAGAUGGAGGCAUUGUAAGAAAUCAAGCAGUGUUGCUAUUUUCUGAUCAAACGGAAGACUUUGCUAAAGAGAAAACAAACCCUGCUGUCUUACCAAAAGCUGAAAGCAAAGAGUCAGCAGUGGAGGGCAAGAGUGAAAUAGUAUUAGAAGGAGAGAAAGAGAUGCAUCAAAUUUUUCAGGACCUCGACAAAAGACUAGCACUAACAUCCAGAUUUUACGUCCCAGAGGGUUGCAUUCAAAGAUGGGCAGCUGAAAUGGUUGUAGCCCUUGAUGCUUUACAUAGAGAAGGAAUUGUGUGCCGCGAUUUGAACCCAAACAACAUCUUAUUGAAUGAUAGAGGACACAUUCAGCUAACGUAUUUUAGCAGGUGGAGUGAGGUCGAAGAUUCCUGUGACAAUGAUGCCAUGGAGAGAAUGUACUGUGCCCCAGGUUAGAGCAAUCACCUAAAAUGUUUCACUUGGAAAACAGAUGAGCAGUUUUCAUUUUCUCAUGGAGCCUAUAUAACAUACUUCUCUUUGGGUCCUCAAGUUCAUGCAAUAUCUGAUUAGGAUUUUUUCCGACUAUCGUAGAAUCUGAGAGAGCUGGUAACUAUACCACUGUUCAACUGACCUGUCAUUUGAUAUGUUAUGUAGCUUCUCUAUAAAAGGUUACUGCACUGAACUUCUUGUUUUUUAGGAAACAUUUUGUUUUCCUUAGGAUAUUUCCAGUUUCAGUGAGGGCAUGCCUGAUCCCUGAAAAGAGCAAUUAAAGAAAAAAGAGCAGUUCAGACUGAAGAUGCCACAAAAAGAUUUUAAAAAUACAAACUUAACAAAUGUACAAUAAUAAGAGAAACAUAAAUCUUACAACAGCUUUAAAUAUAAAACUGUAAUAAACAUACAAAUAUGUGAGGCACCUAUGAUGAGCAAACUUGGAAAUAAUUUAGAGAUAGGUAUGUUUUCUUAGAACCAUUUCUAUUAAACCCAAUGGGAUAAAAUGUGCAUCUUAGUUUUUCUGGUAAAUGCUGUGCUUCAACCUGAAAACUGCUAAUUUUAUGUAGUGGUCAAGUGGUAAUGCCUGGCAAAAAUGAGAUGGCUAAAUAGUUUCACUUAUGAAAUUUGGAAAACAAGAGGGUAUAAACUAGCUUAGAAACAUACAACAAAAACUUCAAAUUACUUUAGUGGCUGAGAUUUUUUUCACUUGUGAGUUCUGUCCAUAGAUGAACUGUUUGGGAAGUUUGAGCAAAAUCUAUUAAACUGUUUGACUCUUUGUGAAGGGGAAAACUUCCUUGCUUUCAAAUUUAGAAUGCCCUGUACGCUUCCUGCUGAAUUCACACACAGGUUGAACUUUGAAACUUGGCAUGCAGGUGGUCCAUAACUAAGGCAUAGUCAGUGACCACGCUUGAUAAAGAUUGGUUGAAUAAUAAGGUUAUAAACAAUUUAAAAGAUGGCUUCAGAACUUAGCAUUGAGCAGCACUUCAUUCUGUGAGUUAGUCCCCUUAAAAUCAAAUGGAGUCAGAGGCUACACAAUGUGAAUAGACAGUAGAAUAUGGUCCAUUGGCAGCUGCUAAAACUUGAAUUUGGACCCUCCACUGUGACAUUGCACUUUGUCUCUGCCCAACCUGACUUGCACUGAAGGUUUACAGGAGGAAGAUUAUGAAUGUCUCUGAAUCACAGCCAGAUACUUCUUUAUAUUUUCAGACAACACAAAACACUUCACUACCUUAACCUCACGAACAGGAAAAUCUCCAGAUCUCUGGUGCCAAUUGGGGACACUGUGGGAGGGGGCAAAUGCCUCCUCCUAAGGUUUUUGCACUUGGUCAAAGUUCCAUAGGCCACGGAGCUGGGGCGGGGGGGGGCUUUCCUGAGCACUUUUAAGCACUGGUCUCAUGCUAAAUCAGUCUGGCUACUGCCAGAGUAGCCUGGAACAUUGGUUUGGCUACAUGGUUCCAAUGCUGCUGAAAUUUGACCCGGCCAGAAGAAGGAUAGACUGAGUGAUGGCUGGGCCAAAUUUCAGUGAAUGGCAUUGCAACUGGGUGCACAGAGUCCAAUUGCUACUCAAAUUUUGCCUGGCUGCUCCUCCAUCCAGAUGGAGGGGCAGUCAGGCCAGAUGGUGUUGUGAGAGGGCACAUAAGGAGCCUGUUCCUGUGGGGCAGAGUGCAGGCGAGUCAGCCGAGAACUCAGCUCUUGGCGGCACUGGCUCGUGCACUGUAUGGCUAAGAGAGAAGGGAGACUCUGAGUAUGUCUAUGCUGCAAUUAAACACCCGCAGCUGGCCCGUGUCUGCUGACUCUGGCUCACAGGGCUUGGGCCGUGGGGCUGUAAAAUUGCAGUGUAAAUAUUUGGGUUUGGGCUGGGGCUUGAGCUCUGGGACCACAAGUAGGGGAAGGAUCCCAGAGCUCCCACCUGAACCCAAAUAUCUGCACCACAAUUUUACAGCCCUGCGGCCUAAGCCCGGCAAGCUCAAGUCAGCUGACAUGGGUUAGCCACAGGCAUUUAACAUACCUUCUGAAGACAUACCCUCUCUGGCUGAAGGAGACCUGGGAUCUGUGCAGGGAAAGGACAAGUGAGGUCCCUGCUGGGGGGAGCAGGAGUGGAAUUUGUCCCAGCAAGAAAUAUCUGAACUGGUGCCACUGCUACAGAUCCCCUCAUUUUAGAGUUCAAGCAAUUUCUGUCACUUUUUAAAGGUGAAAAAAACCCCUAUCUUUCUGUUGCCAAGGUGCAUCCAUCACAGUGCAAACAAUGUGCAGCUGCCUUGGUAGCCCAGUCUUGCAGGAAGCAUUCUUAAACAGAACAGGUAAUGGUAGCAAAGAUGGAAACUCAUCCUUUCCCACGAUACUGCCUUAAUAAGGUGUGAACUUCAAAGUGUAACUGUAUCAAUUUUAAUGACUACACUAUGGUCAGUCCCAGAUCAGGUGGAGAUCUCCGCCCCUGUAAGCUCUAAACAACCAACCCCACCCUGCAGUAAUGCAGUGUUGACCAAGCAGUUGGAAUAACAUUUAAAAAUCACAAAAUGCAAGAGUUAAGGCUUACUGCACCAUCAUUAACUCUGCUUCAGUGCACGUUGGUAGUACUGAUCUGGAGUUUUUUUGGCUAAGCCUCCAGUCCUGCAAUUUGGAUCAGUGUGGACAGACCUUUGCAUUCGUGGAGCCUCACUGGAACACUGCAUGGGUGCAAGUAUGUGUCUGCACAUAUCUCUCCAGUUAAAGGAUAGAGGUCUUUAUGUGUAAAUAUUAUAUAUGUGCAAGUUGACUGAGUUAAUGUUCCUGUAGGAUUCUUAGCUUCCACACUUCCUGAAUAUUAAUAUUUUCUGUGCAAAAUGUAACAAUACAUUAAUGUAUUGUUUUGGAAAUUAAUACUGCAUAUAUUGUAAAUGUUUUCAGUAACUUAACAAGAGAGUGUUGCUUUGAGUGGAGGAACAUUUUAUUUUGAAUAGCAAUCUCAUAGUUGUACCUAGAAAUAACCAAUGUCACGCAGUUCAGACUUGGUCCUAGAGCUCCCACUUUUUAAUCAUGCUCCAAACCACUUGCUCAUCAUUAGACAGCUAAUUUCAGUCUACAUCCUUCAGGUCCAGGAACACUCCAAGAUUAUGGGGAGAUAGAUGGUGCUUGAGCGAUCAUCAUUCUAUUGAGGACCCACGUCUCCGCUCUAUCAGGACAGCAUAUUCCCCCCUUCUUAGGAUAGUCUAUUUUAAAAUACUACUUGUACUCCACUACAUUAUGAGAAACUGUUCUUUUAAGUUACUUGCUUCAGUUACACAUUGCAAUCUACGGAGAGAUCUUAUAUCAAAACAUUGCCAUCAAGAUUCUGUUAUUAUAGAUACUAUACAAGUUACUUAUUCUUGAGAUGCAAUUCUUUAUUUGUAUUAAUUUUGGACAUGGUUUCAUCAACAGAAAUGGCAGAAAAUUGAUAUGAAAGUUUAACAUGUAGCAGGAUAUCAACAACUUAAAAUCAGACUGCUAUGUAAAAAGUCUAAAAAAAAUUUCAGCUCCUGUGGUUACAAGUAACACUGGAGAUUGCUAGAACUGAAAGAGAUGAGAGAGAGAAUCUCUGUUGAUUCAGUAGGUUUACUUUGAUUAUUUCCACAUUUAUAGUCAGCCAAUUUCCCUGAUUGUGUAGGUCUUUCAUAAUAGUCAUAGAAUCAUAGAAGUGUAGGACUGGAAGGGACCUCAAGAGGUCUUCUAGUUCAGUCCCCUUCACUCAUGGAAGAACUAAGUAUUAUCUAGACCAUCCCUGACAGGUGUUUUUCUAACUUGCUCUUAAAAAUCUCUAAUGACGGAGAUUCUACAACCUCCCUAGUCAAUUUAUUCCAGUGCUCAAUUACCCUGACAGUUAGGAAAUUUUUCCUAAUGUUCAACCUAAAUCGCCCUUGCUGCAAUUUAAGCCCAUUGUUUCUUGUUCUAUCUUCAGAGGUUAAAGAGAACAACUUUUCUCUUUCCUCCUAGUAACAACCUUUUAUGUAUUUGAAAACUGUUAUCAUGUCCCCCCUCAGUCUUCUCUUCUCUAGACUAAACAAACCCAAUUUUUUCAAUUUUCCCUCAUAGGUCAUAUUUUCUAGACCUUUAAUCAUUUUUGUUGCUCUUCUCUUGAUUUUCUCCAAUUUGUCCACACCUUUCCUGAAAUGUGAUGCUCAGAACGGGACACAAUACUCCAGUUGAGGCCUAAUCAGCAUGGAGUAGAGCAGAAUUACUUCUUGUGUCUUGCUUACAACACUCCUGCUAAUACAUACCAAAAUGAUGUUUGCUUUUUUUGCAAUGGUGUUACACUGUUGACUCAUAUUUAGCUUGUGAUCCAUUAGGACCUCCAGAUUCCUUUCCGCAGUACUCCUUCCUAGGCAGUCAUUUCCCAUUUUUUAUGUGUGCAACUGAUUGUUCCUUCCUAAGUGGAAUGCUUUGUAUUUGUCCUUAUUGAAUUUCAUCCUAUUUCCUUCAGACCAUUUCUCCAGUUUGUUCUGAUCAUUGUAAAUUUUAAUCCUAUUUGCCAAAGCACUCCUGGCUUGGUAUCAUCCACAAACUUUAUAAGUAUUCUCUCUAUGCCAUUAUCUAAAUCAUUGAUGAAGAUAUUGAACAGAACCUGACCCAGAACUGAUCGCUCUGGGACCCCACUCGAUAUGCCCUUCCAGCUUGACUGUGAACCACUGAUAACUACUUUCUAGGAAUGGUUUUCCAACUAGUUAUGCACCCAUUUUAUAGUAGCUCCAUCUAGGUUGUAUUUCCUUAGUUUGUUUGAGAUGGUCAUGCGAGACAGUAACAAAAGCUUUACUGAAGUUAAAAUGUACCACAUCUACCGCUCUCUCCCUCCCUGCAUUCACAAGACUCGUUACCCUGUCAAAGAAAUCUACUAGCUUGGUUUGACAGGAUUUGUUCUUGACAAAUCCAUGCUGACUGUUACUUAUCACCUGAUUAUCUUCUAGGUGUUUGUAAAUUGAUUGCUUAAUUAUUUACUCCAUUAUCUUUCCGGGUACUGAAGUUAAGCUGACUGGUCUGAAAUUCCCCGGGUUGUCGUUAUUCCCCUUUUUAUAGAUUGGUACUAUAUUUCCCAUUUUCUAGUCCUCCAUAAUUUCUCCCGUCUUCCCUGACUUUUCGAAGAUAAUUGCUAAUGGCUCAGAUAUAAGCUCAGUCAGCUUGAGUAUUCUAGGAUGUAUUUCAUCAGGCCCUGGUGACUUAAAGACCUCUAACUUUUCUGAGUAAUUUUUAACUUGUUCUUUCCCUGUUUUAGCCUCGGAUCCUACCUCAUUUUCACCGGCAUUCACUAUGUUAAACGCCCAUUCGCUACUAACCUUUUUGAUUGUAAGAAGCUCUUUGUUUACCAAUGUACUAGCAUACUAGAAUCUACUCACUGAAAUGGCUUAAGAAAAUGGCAUUUUAGUAUUAAAGUCUCUCUUCAAUAGGGCUCAUUCUAGAGGCAGAAGUCCUUCCAUGUGGAGGUCAUUGCAGGAUCAAGGCCUAAGAAAUCACUCUUAAAAACUGGGUAUUGACUACCAGAGUAUAGAACAGUAUCUAUUUUUUUAAUAAAAUAACCAACACUAUUGUAGAAACAGCCAUCACAGCCUUUAGACUAUGAAAAACAAGCGAUUGUCAGCUCUCACUAAAACCCAUCAAGAGCUGAGAUGAAAUGUGACUGUGUAUGUAUAAAAUAUAUUGUUUUCCUGCCAUUUUUUAUAUAUAUAUAAAAGGAAAGAGCUCCUUACUAAUGGUAAAGCAGCGAGAAAAUGGAAAAAAACAAAGAUUUAAAAAGUUCCCCAGGAUAUCCUUGUGACAACAUAGUCAACUUUCUGUAAAAUAGCAAUAUAAUUUUAUAUCUUGCAUACAUUUAAAGCCUCUUUGAGAGGAGAGAAAUCUUUUGCAAGAAGGUACAUUUCUUACAGUUGACCAGCAGGUGGCAUUGUACCAUUAAUGGAUUUAUGCUGUUGACUUGCUGGCACCCUCCUUUGGCUUACUUUAGAUAAGAUCUACAGAGUGGAGAAGAGCUUUGUUGUAAUUAUUUGCAUAACAAGAACUGUACUUUCAAGCUUUGUGAGUUGUAGAGCAUUCUAGCAUGGUAUAUAUGGUUAAAAGCAGAAAGUCCCUUAGCUCCUUGGGUAGAUCUACUUUAAUAAAGUUCUGAAAUAUUUCAGGCUGAAAUAAAUAACGCAAUAACAAAGCUAUCUGCAAAUACUUAAAAGUAGUGCCUAUAUUAUACUUUGAUUAAUAGCCAACCCAAAUCUUUGCUGUCCACCCAUGAUAAGUCAGUUUUUCUUUCUUUGAACUAUAAGGGAAAUGACGAUGACUUAUAAUUCCUUCCUCCUAAACUCAGCACCAUUAAGAGUAAAAAACGUGGAUUUUUUUUUGGCCAAGAUUAAUGAACUAUAAAUAACAAAUGUGAUUAACUAACAAAUUAUAAGCCCACAGAUGAGAAUUUUCACUGCAUUAACUCUGAAGUGCAUAAUGUUUUCUUACAAUCCCCUUUUUUACAUUAUUUUUUGUUUUCUAAAUAGUCUUAAAAUGUGCUAAGCUGCUGACGUUUGAAUAAAAUGUAAAGUUGUCACCAGAUCAUGAUGACAAUGAUUCACUUCUGUUUAAACAGUCCUUUGCUCUCAGUGCCCCCUGAGAACUCUUAUCGCAUAUUUGUUUAAAAAACAACAACAACCCCCCCAACACACAACCUAUUAUCCACCCCCCUCCCCAUGCUUUAUAAUAUCAGCAGAGUAACUUCUUUAUCUCUUAAUGUGCCUUGGUAUUUUGAGGGGGAAAAAUUCCAGUAACAGAUUCAAUUUACAAGGACAGAAACUUGAGCAAAUGCCAAGCUAGCAGGGGGGACCAUUAUUCUGCUCUAUAAAUACGUUUGAAAAAGAAACACACACACACACACACACACACACACCUGUAAAUCAACAUAUUUUGGUCAAAGUGAGGGGAAAGCAAGAUAGAUAAUUUUUUGAAAUGCAGAUGAUGCAAAUGUUAUUUAAGUACAGUUUUUGCCAACUUUGUGAUCUUAGAUUUGCCUAAGAGUCAUUACCAUUUAAAUAAUGCGGUAAUCAUAUUACACUCUUAGUAGGACAAAGAUAAUAACAAGUUUGUAAAACUAAAACUGGAACUUUUAAAAGACCCUAGCCAUUGUUUGUUUAUAUCUGUGAAAAAGGCAAAACAUGAAUGGCUGCAGCUGCAGCCAUAUCAAGAGCAUCUGGAGCAGACCUGAUCAAGAUUAGGUCUUGUUGAUAAAGCAAAAACAAGUCGUUUUGGUAUAUUUUGUAUCUCUAAUUCUAAAGCAAAGUGCAGCAGAAAAAAAUCUACUGCUUUAACAUGUGAAUGUGCAUCUUGUGCCCCACCCCCGCAUACUGCAGGGUAUAUUGAUUUAUUUUAAAUCAAGGGGAUUUAAAAUCAUGAUUUAAAUCACCAAGUGGGAAGCCUUGAUUUAAAUAAUCUAUUUUAAUCAACUUUUCCAUUUGAACUUCACUUAUUUUCUAAAGAAAGGUUCAUUCUUACUGGUUGACAUAACCAUGUAAAAAGUUAAUUUACAAUUAAAUCGAGUCUUUACAGUAGAUUUGGCACACCUUUUUGCUACCAAGUGAUGUCAUACAUGAUGGUGUUUCCUGGAGUCAGAGGCCAGGCCCCAAUGCCUGUGAUGACUUUGCCAGUCAGGGUCUUGCACCAGUAGCUCAGCCCCUAGGGCCCUCCACAGGAUCAAACCCUUAAUACAGUAUAUGAUCUAUUGUGCUAUAUUUAUAAAGCUUGACCUCAAAAGUUAAGAUUUUUUCCCCCUUGUUUGAUUCUUUCUUUAUAAACUGUAAUUCAAAGUUUUUGAUAGUCUCCUGGAUUCAGAAUAUUUAUCUUUUUAUUUUAAUGUUUUCAGAGAUAUAGGCCUGACCAUAUUUUACAAUGAUUUCAGGUUUUAUUUGAAUCAGGUUUAUUUUUUAAAAAUAAAAGCUUAUUAUAAUUUAAAGUACAAAAUAAAAAAAAUCUGAUUUAAAUAAAAAAUAAAUAAUUGAUUUUUUUUUCUUUUAUCUACCUUGCCAUACUGUACAUGUCAAACAUCCAAAUCCCCCAGCUAGUUAGAAGGGAAAAGUCCUAUCUACUUAGGGUGACCAGAAAGCAAAUGUGAAAAAUUGGGGCAGGGGGUGGAGGGUUAUAGGAGCCUAUAUAAGAAAAAGACCCAAAAAUUGGGACUGUCCCUAUAAAAUCGGGACAUCUGGUCACCCUAUAUCUAGUCCAGAGGUCUAGAUUUUACAACUGAAACAUUGUAGAUGAAAUGUGAUGGGCUUUUCUGAACAAAUAAGAAAAUCCAAUACCACUUUUUAGCAAUAGGAUUGCAGUAUGUAAACUUACGAUUCACCUCCGGUAUCACCCCACCAUCCAAGGAUGGCAUUUUUUUCAUUGGUAUAUCACAGCUGUGAAAUCUAGCCCUCUGAUAAUGCAAUAGUAAUGAGAGAACAGAUGAGUUAUGAAGUCCCAUUUCUCCCAGCUGCUCUUUUUUUCUCUAACAGUGAAUCUUGAACAAGCUGAAUGUGUAGAAAGACAGAUACAUAGUUGAGAUUUUCAAGACAGCAAGGAGAUCUAACUACAUAAUUCCCAUCAAUUUUUCUUGUAGGAUAUGUGGAGGAAAUACAGUCCUAGUCACAUACCCUCAUGUUUUGAUGACUUCACAAGACACUUGAUGUGAUCAGGAUUCCAUUUGCAUGCUAUAUUCUCUGUAUAUGAAUGCACACAAGUAUGUCAGUAUAUUUGGUUUGAUCUAAACCAGUAUUUACUGUAUACUAUACAAAGCCUACACAAAUCAAAGAUUUGUAGGUACAAAUUUUAGUCCAAAAAAAGCCCAAAUUGCUUCAUACUACAAGUUGAUAUCCAUGCUCCCAGAUGUGAAAUGACAGCUUCACUUCUGCUCUUAGACAAUUUUCUAUAAAGAAGAAACAUGUGGCUGAUGGUUGGAAGCACACAAUAUUAAAAAAAGUCAAAAAUAUCAGCAACAUUGGUCUUUAUGGCAUGAUGUUUAUUUGCUGGACAAAUAUAUCCCACCCCACGUUACCAAUUACUUGAAGCCUUGUGUAUCUGUAUAUUUAACUUUCAGUGUGAGGUUGCUGAUAUUAAGUACUACUGUUCUGUAGUCUAGCCAUUUCAUUUGGAGAUUGUUUAAGAAAGUAGAUAAAAUAUAAUUGACCCCUAGAAAUCAUAAGGGAGGGUUGGUCUAAUGGUUAUAGUGAGAGACUAAACUCCAUGGGUUCUGUUUCUGGCUUUGCCAUUCACUUGCUCUGUGAACUUUUAUAUACUGGUGUGAUCCUAAAUGCAAAGGAGAAAGUAGAAAUGGAGGAUAAAGAAAUUUUGAGCAAUGAAGAGUAACUUGAAUGUAAGAAACACUGA